CCUACGGGAGGCAGCAGUGGGGAAUAUUGGGCAAUGGGCGCAAGCCUGACCCAGCAAUGCCGCGUGAAGGAAGAAGGCUUUCGGGUUGUAAACUUCUUUGACAGGGGAAGAGCAGAAGACGGUACCCUGAAAACAAGCCACGGCUAACUACGUGCCAGCAGCCGCGGUAAUACGUAGGUGGCAAGCGUUGUCCGGAUUUACUGGGUGUAAAGGGCGUGUAGCCGGGAAGGAAAGUCAGAUGUGAAAUCUGGAGGCUCAACCUCCAAAUUGCAUUUGAAACUGUUUUUCUUGAGUACUGGAGAGGCAGACGGAAUUCCUUGUGUAGCGGUGAAAUGCGUAGAUAUAAGGAGGAACACCAGUGGCGAAGGCGGUCUGCUGGACAGCAACUGACGGUGAGGCGCGAAAGCAUGGGGAGCAAACAGGAUUAGAUACCCCAGUAGUC
rnacentral:rRNA from 1 species